AAAUCUCUCAUUGGCUCUAAUUUUACUGGCAAUCUUUAAUGCCAACUCCAUUGGGAUAAGAUUAUCGGCUCCUGCAUUUUUAUACGAUGGCCAUCCAUAUGAUGAUCCAAGAAAAUACUGAUUUUCAAUGUAUAUGAAAUGCUGCGCAGAUCUGAUUGCCUGGAUGUAUGCAGUUUGAAUGCUCUUAUCCACCACAUGAUUUUUGGUAGCUAUGAGGUUCUGAGCUUGACAAUCAUGGGCAUUUUUAGGAAAUCCUUUUAAUGAUCCUGUGUCAAUAGACCGAAAAAUCUGGACAUGCCAGUUUUCAGGAUCUUCUUUAGUGGAAACAUGUACUAUGGGAUCAUCCGGUGGAACUACAGUGACACUAUCCUUCACGUUGAAAGGAGGACUUAGGAUCCAUGAAAUCCGUUCUAUCUUUAUCAAUGCAUCAUCAUGCCAAUGGGAUACCCUUUUGAAACGCAGGCCAAACUCUGUCCACUUUGUUGCUUUCCUCCAUCGCUGCUCGAAGUUUAUAAGAACAUCAUAUGCGGCAGGCCCUUCGAUUCUGCAAUGCAAGUCAUGCCAUGGUUGCCUCGGUGCUUUGGUACCAGCAGGAAAUGUUGGAUUAUGGAAAUCAUCCUUGAAUACAGUGUCAAGGUCACGGAACAAUCGAUGCUCAGGAGUAUCGUAUCGUCCAUCACACAGAUCAAUACCUCC
rnacentral:misc_RNA from 1 species